GAAUCAGCAGACUGAUACUAAAGUCAAGUAUCAGUUAAACAUUCUUCCUCGGACUGAACCUCCAACGUUCAAAGGAAGCCACGUACUUCAAAAGUACAGCCGCAUUAAAUGCAGAGAUCUCAGGAUCAUCCUUUCUCUGCAGAGGUCAUUCCUAUUUGGUGACUACUUUAUCAGAGACGUCGCAUCUCCUGCUCUUCAACAUAGUCGUUCUCACCAAACAAGGAACCUCGAAGAUUGAAGCCUCAGCCCAAGUUCAAAUUACUCUCUAACAGAAGAAAUCUUGAAGACCUUCUCCGCCAACGGAUCUAUUCAAGACCUCUCCAAUAAAUAGCGCUCGAGGAUCACUUCAAUCUUCACCGAUUCAACAACACAAGCUGAAGCUCUGCCAAAAUUGCGUCUCAGCCCAAAGCUCAAAUUCCCAAAGCUUGAAUCGAAGAAGAGAAUCCCAAAGCCAAAAAUCAGUCACUGCUGAUUACAUAUAUUCUCUUAGACCUUAGGCAAACCUCUGUUUACCCAGAGCCUAGGUCAAAACUAACUCCAAAGAACUUGUUCUUUGAAGUUUAGUUGGCAAGAUUUCAAACCUCCCUUCGACCGAUAGAAUCGAGUGUUUGAGUUGCAAAGGAGUUCAGGAAGGUACUCUGUCUCCGUGAGAUCCUAGUGCCAGUUCGUGCUAGGAGUGAGAAAUCCAACAAGGUGUGUUGGUACUGAAGAUUGGAUCUUCAGUUGAUUCGGUUGUGUGCAAACACACGGAUUCGGUUUGCUGUGCACCCGUAAACACAACCAUCGGUUUGCAGUGCACCCGUAAGCACUUGCAGAGUGAAGUUAUUGGUCUGAUCAACCGACCGUAGAUGUAGGAAGUGUUUUCCGAACCACGUAAAAAUCUCUGUGUUAUUUACAACUUUUAGUUUUACUUUCCUACUUGUGUUCUUACUUUGAUAAAUUGAAUACUGAUUAAUUGCAAAGAGAAACUUAAGACUAACAACGUGCUCAACAAAGGCUAUUGCAAAACAAAAGUAUUUCCGCUGCGUAUGUUUUCAGUCUGACUGAUCUAUCCUCUGAUAGUCAGGAAGAUUUAUAAUAUCUCUGUUUUCAUCAAACUCGACUGAAGCCUUUACGUGCAUCAGUUAAGUUCUUGUGACUUAACUUAUAACUCCUUACUGAAGAGUCUUUCAGUAUCAGUCGUCAACCCUGUUUUGGUCAAAACUCUUUUCAAUAAACAGGUGUCAGAGUUUGUGUGUAAAGUUUCGCCUUGAUCUCUAUCUUGAGAUCCAUCUGAUUUUAAAAAUAGCCUAUAGGUGUAUUCCCCCCUCCCCCCAUACACAUAUUCGAGACCCUCCGGACCUAACAAAGGACUUUAGACAUCCUNAGGAUACGCACAUGACGAGUAAAAAAGGGGGCCCAACAUAUUGACUAUUAUCCAUAACCAAAUAUGCGACCGCACAAUGAAAAUCCUUGAACCUAUGACCGAAAGAAUUAUCCCAUAUCACACCAAGACUAUGCCCAAACCGGGUUCCUUUUAUUAGUGACUAUUUUCUUGUGUUUUCUAUUUCAGCAUUUACAUAGUGCCCAUAGAUAGAUUUCAAUUCUGUUUUGGCCACAGGUUGGCAAGUGACACCUUUGCCCAGAGACGAGCAACCAAAUAUAAAGCUUGUGACACGAGUACUGUGAUACACCAAUUCCCUGUGGGUUCGACCCUAUUACUUGCCAUUAAUACUAACCUUAAUUAGCAGGACAUAGGAAAUACAAUAUCAUUUGCCCGAAGUCUCACACGGGCUUCAGCAGAGUCGUAACUAGUGGUAAAAUAAAUCCACAUAAGCGUCAAAUUGGAUCUAUCUAAAUCUGCAUGCAUCUUGGGCAUAACACUUUAACUGAUAAGUUUCUGGAGUUAUACACUAAAGGAUGGAUUGUCUUUUGGCAGGAUAGUUAAUCUCUUUAACUGAUAAGUUUCUGGGGGUUAUACACUAAAAGGAUGGAUUGAUCAUAGGGCAGUUGCGUGCGUGACGUGUGACAAUUGGGGGCGUAGCUGUCUUGUGCCUAUAACCAGUUGGUAUGCGAGUGUAGUGAAACAUAUUUGAACCAAUGACCAAGUGCCUAGUUCAUGUUUAGUAAGUCAAACCCAAGUUAAAAUCAUUUGUUAUUUGAUCAAGUUACUUUUGUUAUUUCAGUUUAAUCUGAAACCUCGUUCUGCCCACAAGACAGUUAUGACCAGAAUAACCGGAAACCAAAAUUAUUUUUAGUGACACCCUUGCAAGAGAGAUUACACUCAGUUCCCUGUGGAUUCGACUAUGGACUUACUACUAGCUAACCUAGUUAUGGGCACUAGAUUUAUUUGCGCGAAACUCAAACGACGGCUUCGUCAACCACCAAGUUAAGAACAUGCGCUGGACACCACAUGUGAAUGUAACUAUCGCCCAUAACAUUAGUCUUCAUCGUGUCAAGGUAUGCACAGACAUGUCUAAUUUCCCCAUCGUUUGCAGUGGCAUUGUCAGUAGUGUAACAUAACACUUUCGCCAAUCCCCACUCCUUCAAUGACGUGACGACCGCUUCACCAAUACCAACCCCUUUAUGACUAAGGAUGGGGCAAAAAGUGACGAUCUUCUUGUGCAGAAUCCAAUCCCUACUAAUACAGUGUGCAGUAACACAAAUGAAAUUUAUGUUAUUCACUAAUGUCCAACAAUCUUUGGUUAUGGACACUUUAUCCAUGCCUUUUUUUUGUUUGACGUUGUUGGGAACUUAAUGGAAUAUCCUAAUCCUUGUUUUGAUGAUACCAAAAUCCAUAGGCUUUGAUUGUAAUAGACUAGAACUGUUCGAACUCAAGUGUUAGAGUUCUUUUCUAGUUUAGUUUGUUGUUCUGAAGACUGAAGACUGAAGAACGUAGGACUGAAGACUGAAGUUGCCAACUGAAGUAUCAGUUGAAGAAUCAGUCUUGAACUGAUUACUUAAUGCGUGCCACGUGGAAUCAGCAGACUGAUACUAAAGUCAAGUAUCAGUUAAACAUUCUUCCUCGGACUGAACCUCCAACGUUCAAAGGAAGCCACGUACUCCAAAAGUACAGCCGCAUUAAAUGCAGAGAUCUCAGGAUCAUCCUUUCUCUGCAGAGGUCAUUCCUAUUUGGUGACUACUUUAUCAGAGACGUCGCAUCUCCUGCUCUUCAACAUAGCCGU
rnacentral:lncRNA from 1 species